rnacentral:rRNA from 1 species
CUGAACCAGCCAUGCCGCGUGAAGGAUGACGGCCCUAUGGGUUGUAAACUUCUUUUAUAGAGGAAGAAACUUGUCUACGUGUAGACAACUGACGGUACUCUACGAAUAAGGAUCGGCUAACUCCGUGCCAGCAGCCGCGGUAAUACGGAGGAUCCAAGCGUUAUCCGGAUUCAUUGGGUUUAAAGGGUCCGUAGGCGGGUCUUUAAGUCAGUGGUGAAAGCCGACAGCUCAACUGUCGAACUGCCAUUGAUACUGGAGACCUUGAGUACAAAUGAAGUAGGCGGAAUGAGUCAUGUAGCGGUGAAAUGCAUAGAUAUGACUCAGAACACCGAUUGCGAAGGCAGCUUACUAACAUGUAACUGACGCUGAGGGACGAAAGCGUGGGGAGCGAACAGGAUUAGAUACCCUGGUAGUCCACGCCGUAAACGAUCAUCACUCGCUGUUGGCGAUAUACUGUCAGCGGCCAAGCGAAAGUA